AACACCUGGUACAACGAAGUUUAGAGUUCAUAUCUUAUCCUGUUCAAGUGUCAAAACUCGAGUUUGUGGCGGGAAGUUGUCUAAUCACGCAACCAAGCGAUCGAUGAUGAUAUUCUGCUCACGAUGCAUCGUCUUCAAAUUUUCCCGAAAUUACAGCACCAAAAACUUGCUUUCGCGAAGUGCGUAGGCUGUCUUGGCGUAAAUUUGGCAACACAUGAUUAUGAUUUUUUUUUUACAGACUAGUAUUGACGUGAAAGUGUUGGCGUCAAGUUGGCAGGAAACAGUCAAUUCUUAAACUAUAAUAUCACGCCCUCCGAGUAACGAAUUGAAUUUUAAUGAAGGAUAUACUGCGCAAAGUAUGUUAUUCAGUGACAGCCUCGAUACUACAUGUGCAAUUGAAUAUAUCCGAGUAAACUUGGACUGUAAAUGUGUCCAGCCCUUUACAUUUCAAAAGUUAGGUAUGCCUGUUGGGAGGAGGAGGACCCAGAAGUUUGGAAGUUGAAGUUGUCUCUGAUCAUCGUGAUAGGAUCAGCUCCCCUUAACUUUCCUCUUCCUGUCCGGCCGUUUUUUCUUUUAAGCCACUUUGUGAUAUGUGUCAUUUGUAGAAACUAUCGUUUGAUUCCGUCCCAAACCGCCGUAUACAAUUCUGUACACCAGUGGACCAGUAAAGUCUGGACUUAUUGCUAGGAUACCUGUAAUGAUGUGUUGAAGUACCUUCCAGUAUCAAAGGUGAAUAGGGCAACGACAGGUAGGCAACAGAUGACGAUGAUCUCCAAGAUGAGGAUGGUCGUCCGCAUUACCCAAUUAAGCGUGACGAUACAGGGACUGUCGUCGACGCAGACAUCACAUCCUUCGGGGCAAGGUGACUUUGCAACUCCAUCCGUACAGGACGCGCGGAUUUUGCGUAGCAAAGUUUUCGGGUUUCUACGACGAGUGAUUGACUACGUGGUACAACAAAAGCCGAUCCGACGAAAAAAGGAGACAAACUUACUUGAAAAAGUAGGACCCAUUCGCAAAGCCGAAAAAUGGAACCGUAUACGUCAUCAUCCAGAUGUUGCCUCCGCCGCAGUCGAAAUAAGGUUUGCUCCAUUUACCAUCUUCGUAGGAGACACUGAGAAUUUCGUCGUCGAAUCGCUCCGUGUGCGCCGUCUCGUUGGCCGUGUACGUAUGAUAAGCUGCAAUAGUGUCGUAAAGUCAUUGUUAGUCAAAUGAUACAUCAUGUUUUCUGGAAUUUCAUAUCGUACCAUACGAAAACCAUUUAUUACUAGAACUGACGUUGCAUAGAUCUCCUUAUAGAUCUUAAAAUAACUGAAUGCCUCUUUUUCCACGUCAAAGAAUGACGGGCUUGAAAAAGUCUGUCUAGACUCUUUCGUUUUUAUUCAGGGUUUAUUAUGUUUUAGUCGUUCUUUUUACAUCGAUAUUCACAGUCGACCGGUAUACGAUGUUCAAUUCGUCUGAUGUAUACGGGAUCCGGCAAAAAACAACAUCAGAUGCGCUUAUUCUACGAUAGAGUUUUUCUGUGGCGUUAAGUAGGUCACCUCAUUGACUCCAUCGUACCUUUCGUGAUUUGGCACGGAUUACGGGACUAACUAAACUUUUAGCACUCUUUGAAAAUGUUCCGAGUCCUCAGCCGUGAAUUCCCGUUACUAACAAUCACUUUCGCAGUUUUUUUUUUCUCUUCUCACUCGCUAUCGAUCGAUAUGAGAGGGAAAGAAGUAGAUUGUCAAGAGUGGCCACUCGUACCGGUCUCUCCUGUACUUGACUGGUACCGUGAAAGUCAGUCUCUUUUUUCCUUAUCCGAUUUACCGGAGCUCAGCUUUGUCCAGUGAAUCCCCCCUUCCCUUUUUUUUAUUUACCUAAAAGCUUAAGUUUUCUUUUUAUUCACCAUAGAAAUUACAUCUUCACAAGAUGCAAAUGUAUAUUUUUAUGCGCUUAAUGUCAGCUCAAUUCAUAAUGCCUAUUGAAAUAGUUAGUAGAAAUCAGAGCCCACGUUUUAUGCCCGUAGUCAUUGAUUCGUAUCUCACCGGAUUAACUGCAGAACACAUUGUGCGUCUUUCCGUCCUUCAUUCCAGAAUUCCGCAAAUUGCCUUGUCGUUGUCACUAUACUUUGUUUCCGCCAACUUGACAACUGCAAGCAUAGAGAAAACCAUGCGAUAUUGGCCACGUAGUUUAUGAGCAGCGAAGUCGAGGGCUCUUGCACGCUCGCAUCAAUAACAGAUUAAUAUAUUCUUUUGUCUUUUGAUGGCUUUUCUUUUUUCGUAGAAAAUGGAAUAGGCAUAUGCAUUUUUGGUAGUUGCAAAAAUGCCAUACAGCUCGUGAUGAACCCAACUGUCAUUGAUAAGUGCAACCGUGUUCUAAGUGACAUUUUUUUUUAAAGUCAUGAUUGCCUUCUGUGUUUAAAUUUUUCUACCUCUUCAGACUGAUUUCUUUGCUACAUAGAGAUGAUGUCGGACAACUAACCAAGUUGUCCGAAUUGAAUACAGAAUAACCAAUUCUGUAUUCAAUUUACUUGACGUUUUUGAAUUAUUGAAAUUCAUCCAUUGACUGACAGGGUAAAUAUUCACGUGGGUAAAUGGAUUUGGGUGGAAAGGCUCCGUGCAUUUGUAAUAGAUACGGCACGCGAGUCGGCUGACGUUGUUGAGUCACAAACCGAAUAUUCUAUCUAACAUGUUUUCCAUAUUAAAAACCCAGCGUAGUACAGUUGUCGGCAAGUUUUUUUUUCUUUGCUCAGAGUGUACUCGUUGUUUUUUCCAGGAAUUUGUACAACUUUGAUAGCACAAUCGCAUCCGAAUUUUUAUUAUUUCAUUUUUUCUUCGAUGUGCAAAGCCAACAUGGCUUACACUAGACUAUGUGAUAUUUUGAAGUCAUGUUAUUUUAUAGACGGUGGCUAAGAGCUGGGCUUUCGUCUACUUUCAUCAUCUGUGCUAUUGAACUGUCGUGAGUACAGAUACGGCAUGAAAGCAAGGGCACAUGUUCUUGGGUUUAAGGUUAUUUAAUAAACCAACCAGGUAAUUUUUCCUUUAAAAAAACAAACAUAUAGAGUUGCCUGGAUAUAGUAUACGAUUGCUUUAAAGGAAAAUUGGACUUUCUCUUCACUUUGCAUUGUCAAGAGAUUCGGUUUUUUUAAAUUCACGAUCAGGUACGUUAGGGUUCAUUACGGUAAUGCAGCUGAAUUCAUCGACUAGUUCCUUUUUUCCUUGUUUGUUCCUCUAUUAUUUUUCCUCUAUUCUCCUUCCGUGUUUGUUUUUCUUUACUGUUCUCGCUUGUUGAUUGGAGGGUCUGACAAAACAUUGUUGCACCCUAAAUAAGCUAGCGUUUCUGCCAGGAAGCGAUUGCUAGAAAAUUAUUUUCCGGCUUCCUCAUUGCGCUUCACUGCGGCAAGCGCUAGAAAAAGGGAAAAAAAAAACAUUAGGUGAUAAUAGACGAUAAAAGGCGAUCGAUCGAGUGCGUAACAGUUCAGGUUUUGAUAACACCCAACGCAGAAUUAUCUCUCCUUGGCCAUCAAUUUGCACCCAGAGAUUUCUGUUGGCCGCACACAAAACGACAAUUGGCUCCAACUACAAUAGCAAAAUCAAAUUGCUCCUAAACUAGAUUGCGUGACGACGCUCGUCCUUAACUUGUCUCUUCGUAUCUUAUCAUCACUAUAAGUUACAUCAAAAGGAUAUGGCCCUGUGUCCAGGUGUUGUCCUUCACAGAACAUCAAUCAUUAAUCUUUCUUAUAAAAGCAUUUGGAGAGCGGAGGGGGUUAGAGGUUACGAAUGGCGCACACCAUAGCAACAUGCACUCUACAUUACAUAGUUUGUCGUGUCCGAAGGCGGUUGUCUACACGAACGAGACCACUAUAUGUUUGGUCAAACACAACGUCGUCCGUCCAACCGUAGGGACGAAGUAGACUCCGGUGCUAAUCGAUCGACCUGCUCUAUGGCCCUAAUACACGCAAAAGCGAUGGAACAAGGUUUAUAUUUGCUAGCGCAAAACUAUAACAACAACAACAUGUAGAUCGUUUCCAGUUGUGAAGAGCGUUGCCCUUACUUUGUACGGGUAGUGUUUCCAUUUUCCCAUGUUGGCCCUGUUUUAUCAAGGGAUCGUUUGCAGAUAAUUGAAUUUAACUUUGGCUCUUUGUUGGGGAGUAUAACAUGUACCCUUGAUACAGGUUAUGGCUCCUUGGUAAACCAGUGAACCAAAAAAACAAACCGUUCCCUUUUGAUCUCGAUCACUAUAUACCUUCUUGAUUUUCCAAGCAUGACAACCCAACGAACAAUAGACCUAUAAUGAAGGUAUAUUUGAUGGUCGUUAUUGCCAACGAUUGUUAUAUCGUGCUUGUUUAUCUUUGCUUAGAUUUUAAUGUCAAAGAACCAACAUAUGGAAACAUUUUGAAUUUGUUUUUUGCUUUUUGCACAAGUAUGGCCUUAGGUUACCAUCAACAAACAUUGGAACAAGGAUGUAACUUUGACGUGCAUGUUCCGAAAUUGAAUUUUUACGAGAGUUCCGGACUCUUCGCUUCUCUUGUUUCUUUUUCCCCCAGUUUUCUUCAUAGCCUUCUGGAUUUCAGACAAACUUGAAGGUGACUAUAAUUUGUGCAUAUCUUCCCAAACGACAUUUUCUAGUCUUGCACGGUUUAAGUUUUUAGCGUAGAUUUGGAUGCCCUACGUUUUACUUAUACGAGGGUAACUUUUACAAGUUACUAAUUAGAUUCCGCACCAAAAGUUUACUGGAAGUUUCACUAUGACGGUAGAAAAUGUCUGGUGAGACUUCAUUUUGGUUGUUAUAUAUUCUAGUUUACGAUACUUUUCUUAUUUUCCCAUUCGAAUCUCACAAUUCUAAUUAUCCUUUUUUAAAAUGCAAACAAACGUUGCAUAUAUUGCUUCAUUAGUCGACGUUCUUUUCAGCGUCUCCUUUCUUAAUUAUGACAGUUCAUUGGAAUGCAGUAAAAAUAACUAUCCUUUAAAAAUUCGUUUUUCAAGAAAUGCAAAAUUGAAAUAAAAAAUCGAGCCAUCUGGCAGAGAGGACGUGUAGCGGAUGUAUUUCUUCAUUCUGAUGGUACAUGUAAUGCGUUUGCUCCUCCCGCCACAUUCCUGUCCCUCACGAACGUGUUAAUGCGUGAUUAAUGGCUGAUAGAAGAGAUGAGCACGUAACGCUUGUCUCUGCAUCACAGCAUAUUCUGUCAUUUGAUCAGUGAACCCACCAUCAUGUUACGGAAUUAGCUCCGCUUUGUUGAAUGCACUUUCUCUUAUCGCUAUCGUCUCUCGUUUGGCUUUUCACAAAUCCCCGUCGAGAUUUUGUGGUAAGAUAUUUUAUCAGCUUCUCUGCUUUCACAAUGAUUUACAAUGUACGUUCAAUACCGAAGUAGAAAUGAGCCAGACGGGUGAAACGAGACUGACAUAAGACAAGACAAAUAGAUUUGGCGAAUGGACAGUAAUCGAGCUGAAUGGAUGUUUCUCCAUGUUGAGGAAUUUCAGAUUUGUAUAUCUAAACAACUUUGGUUUGAUUCAGCUUACAAUGAUAUUGCGGUGAAAGAAAAGUAAUGACCCCAAAAAUGGAACGGAAGAUACAGAUUAUGUUCCAGUUUGCCAUUAUUAUUUUUGCUGUUAUUAUUUGGAACAAGUGAAGUAGACGAUUGACGACAAUUCCGAAAGAGGAGCACCGUAUUAUAUUUACAGUUUGGAAUGUUAUCCGUGCUGCAACUUAUGAACUGGAGAUGGAUGACGUUUGGGACGAACAUCAGCGAGAAAUGGUAAGUUGAUUCAAGUCACGCCAGACUUUAUCAAUCGGAAUUUACGUCAUAUAGCUGUACCGAGCAAUAUAUUCUCGUUCCUUAUGAAUUUAUGAGCAAAUCACCAGUACCAUGUACGUUAUGUAUUGAGAGGUUGGGUAUGUAAAAUGCAAGAGUGCAAUAAGCCAAUUGCAGGUUUAUUGGAUUCUCGGAGAAUUGAUUUUGUUUUCGUUUUUACGUGUUGGCUUCGACUUCAUGGCCGAGUUCAAUAUCAUAUUUAAUGUGUAUGGGGAAGGGGCUCGUAAAAUUCAAACCAAAUACCAUUAAAAACGAAGUCUUUAUAGUUUAUCUAUUCAUGAAUGAUGGCCGACCACAUUGAAAGUCAAAACGAACGGUUGAGAGUGCCGAGUAAAUUCCGGUUUUGAAGGUCACGCUAUUCUUCCAUUCAAUUAAUUCGAUUGCAUUCAAACACCAUAUACAUACAUUCGCCUUGGAUACAGCGUUACUCGUAUGAAAAGAAUAGUCCACUACAAAUAAAUGUGCCCAAAUGAAUUUCAAGUGAAUAAAACAUUUGAACGAGCUUACAAAUACUCUUAAGGUUUCUUGAGUGGGUUUACGAAAUGUCAUCUAUACACCUCGAAACUCUUUUGGUGCCAAAAAAAAAGGAGAGAGAGCGACAGAGAUAAAAAAGGCUGCUGGACCUAUCACCGUCGAUUCUUGUCGAAGCAAAAGGCCAUACAUUGAAUUGGCGCAGUUCCAGCACGCAAAAAAAAAGACGUUGCCCAUGGAACCCAUUGAAGAUAUCGUCUUUCAAACGAGAAAAACAACGUCAACAGCAGCAGAAGAAAAAAAAAAAACUUUAAAGACUUCUCUUUCGAAACAUGUUGUCUUCAGAAAAGUUUGAGGGUUAAGAUGUUACCCUAGUUGCACAACUACCAGCAGUACCACCACAUAGUGAUUUAUGGGAGUGUGGGGCGAGAAACGUAAUGACGAUUCAAUGGCUACUUCUUAAUGGGAUAGAGAUUUUGUACGGUGACACUAUAAGUUGGGGGGCUUUUGUCACAAUUUAUGGCCUUCGGUUGUCACCUACAUUUUUAUACUCUUCCUUACGUUUUCCUUCUGUAAUCGUCUUUCCAGCAUUAACGACGAGAGUUAGGGUAAUCAAAAUUGUAGACAUUUUUUUCUGAGUAAAAAUGCUGUGGUCAAACUACAGCUGUUGGUUCCCCGAUUCCAACAAAUGUUGUUCUUAUUAUUAAUAUUGAUUCACGAGGCGAUAUCAACCUCGAUACCUGUAAUCUCAAAAGUUGAACGGCAAACACUAAUUGAACUCUAAAACCUUGUGAACAGAAAGAUAUUAAAAAAUUCAUUUAGGAUGUUGUGUCAUCAAUAUGCAACUGUGGCUUAUUUUAGCUUCGGGUGUAUUGUAAACUUUGGAUUCACCCGAAGGCUGAAUUCAAGGCACGUUUCACCUGUAAUCGCUCAGUUGCGAACGAGACAGUUUUACAGCAGGACCAAGUUUUACUUGUGAUUCAUCAUUUUAACUGGAACUAUCUUCACGUCAAUCACCUGAAACAAGACGACGGAACGGAAGCUGCUACUGUAAAUUCCACAUCAACCGGCCGGAAACGCUGACAAUAAUUGUGUAGCAGCGUUGGCUGCAUAUGUGGCAAAUAAUAGAUCAAGGCAACUGGAAGGAAACUGACGGCCCCAAGUUCAAAUUGCAAAGUGAAAACGACGAGUAAAAAAAUAAAAAAUAAUGAAAAAAGGGAAAAAGAACGUACCAAUAUAAUACGCUCGAUAAACAGCAGUCGUCAAAGAUAUUGUCAAGUGGAUUUUCAUAUCGGCAAACUUACGUACAACAAAGAGACGUCUGGCAGUGUCUUAUUGACUUUUGACGGAGAGUUUCACAUAAUGCUCUUGUUCGUGAAUUGACUGACGCCAAGAUUUCGAGGAGAAUCAGAAAGUCCACCAACACAACUGGCUGUAUGACAUUUGAAGAGGCAAAAGCGUAUAGUCGAUAUAAGGAGUCGUUAACGCAAGAGAAAAUGAUCCUUUGACAGAGAAAAGGGCACUGGCCGCCACCAAGUGGCUCGCAAGACCUUGUUAAGAGAUGCCGAAAAAGAGGAAGACGGGCUGAAGGUUGAGCUUACCUUUAGUCAGUGACGUCAUGUUCCGAAUGACACGCUCGGCGUUCUUACGGGCGAUGUAAAACCACUCGGAUGUGUUGGCCAAGUACUUGUAUUCGACGGCCAGAUCUUUGGCCAGGAAUGGGACCCUCCAACAUACGAUAGGCGAACGGGCAGAAGAGAACGUAGUCCUUGUACUGGUACCUAAACACAACACGAAAGACGUCCAAAACAGGAGAAGAUGAACAAUUAGAAGAGCUGCGCAUCGCCUCAAUUCAAAUGUCUAAUAAUUAAGGAAUAAAGCCUACUUGUCAUAGCAGUUGCCCGCAGCGAAAAUGUCUUCAUCCAUCUCGAUCAUGGAGUAGAGAUUGACGUGUAGGAGGUAUUCUGAAUCGAGAACGUCCUUUUCCGCGUACUUCCAAAGCCGCGUCAGCCAAUUAGCUCGGUUGACGGCCACUUCGGCUUCCAAGCGAAAACGAUCCUGUGCGUAGCGAUCCACCACCCCUUCACCCAAGGUGUCGUCCGUUCCUGCUGUGCAGUUAUCGCCCAGCAAAGAUUGAGAUUCGACGAUACGAAGGAAUUUAGUCAUAAUAUCCAAGUCGGGUUUGAUGAUCGGAUCGUAGGUGCUCGGAUCGUCCAGCGAGUUUGUAUUCGACGCUUCCGCAUCGCUACUGUCGUACAUUUCGUCAGCCGAUUCACCUUCGGCGUCCGACAUUCUGUGCCCAUCGUUCAAUCCUUUCAUAGCCGCGAUCUUAUUCUCCAAUUUGGGCGCUCCUGUCGGCGUCUCCGGUGAAUUGGCCGAGGUGAGAAACGAACGCGGUGCCAUUGGCAUUGGCGGAUUUGGUCCUAUUGUUUGACGAUAGUUUUUAUUAUUCCCUUUGGCUAUUGGGUCUUUAAUGUCCAUCUGUUCUGUCUGCGGUUGGUGUUUGGUGGUGUCUACAUCGGAGCUGUCGUCUUUUCCCACCAUCGGUGACACUAAGUUACUCGUUGGAGAUCCGCUGGAAACGGCUUGUAACUUGGAUUUUCUCGUUCCGGAUGCCAGGAUACGGAACGGUUUUGCGUUACCGGUGGCGUUGGCUUUCAUUCUACCGGAUCUUAUUUUACCGCUGCUCGGAUUGGAAUUGACGACGGUGGUUUCUUUUUUCAUUUGAACAGACACAUUGGCCUUCUUCUCCUCAUCAACGCCGGAUGCUGCUGCAGGUUUGGUGGCAUCCUCGACGUAAUCCCACUCUUGCGUCUGACUAGUUUGAUGGCCAUCGAUUUCUUGCUGAUCCGUCUCCUUGUGUCGUACUUUUUGGUGCAAAUGCCGGAUUUUAGCCCAGACCUCAUUGACACUUCCUGCCGGAUGAUCGGUAGCGCCGCCUUUGACAUCUUCCACCGAUUCAGACGAAUAACUGGCAUAGUCCGUCUCGCUAAUUUCUGUCUGCACGUUGACAGAAAUUCCAUCUAUUCUUGUGUAAUUUAUUGGGGUCUGUAAAAGGGGAAUAGAAUUUGAUUGGUUGGCCGAAAUCGAUUCGCUUCGAACUCCGAAAACGUUCAGUCGUAUCGCAAACAUUAAAGUGAUCAAGAUAAUGUCAAUCCCGGUGACAUCUGGCCGUAGUCGCUUCAUCUUCUGCAACGUUGGUCCCUAACUCUGUUGUUCUUAGCCAAGGAGAUUAAGCCCGUUUGCAUCGCCCACUGGGAAUCAGGAAGUUGAGGAGUUAGAAAUAGUCGCAGCAAAAAUCGAUGCUCGCUGGUGAUUGAUGAAAUAUUUGAUUGGAUUCAUCGUGGCAAAUAUUAAUAUUGUACUCGGAAGUCUAACUCUUAAUAGUACUACGCCGUGGCAUCAUUUGCGUGAGAUUGCAUUUGGUGUAAUAGUCUAUAGAACCUUCCAACACCCAUUUGUUCAAGAUUCUUUUAUGUGACAGCGGUAGCUACUCGAAAUGAAUUGAAAAUUAUCAAUUAACACCCCACCUCUACCGUCUAUUGCGGUAAUAUUAAGUGGCUUUCACCGCUGGAACAGUCUCCGCUGAACUGAAACACAUUCACAUACACACUGAAAAUUCUGUAAUAAAAAGUGAACACGCAACACUUGCACAAGUCCAGAAAAAAAGAAACUGUCCCAGUUCGUAGAAGCUAAUAAGAGGAUUUAUUUAGCAAGGACGAAACGAAUUGAAUUUUUGAACGAUACGAUGUUUAAUAUAGAUGCGACUGCGUCUGUGAAAAGAAGCUUGAAGGUGCAGGUGGGAAUGCCGCACACCUCAAAAGGUGCACUAUGCAAACAAAAACAAAAAAUGAUUGAUGAGGAGAGUUGAAUGAGAUCACGGGAACGCAACGAUGAUGGUGCACGUCCUACAGAGGUCUCCCGAAGACUGGUGCACCUCUGCCUCGAUCCUUGGACCACUCCACAACACGGUGGAGGAUGUCGUGCUCCCACCCCCAAAGGAAAGGAAGGAGAAGGAAUAGAAGAAAGGGGAGAAAAAGGGAAGACGCGGAGAAAGAAGAGCGACAAGGCCGAUACGUGCGUGCGUGGUAGGGAUUCCAAAAGCCUUUAGUAUAGAAGAGCGUCGUUCGAUCCCGCGGCGGCGCCGUACUACCGCCAUUCGCUAUGAUCAAACGUAAAUAAUGAGAGCAGAAGAAUAACACCAUCGUACUUUUGGAAACAUGAGAGGAAUAAUAAAGUAGACACUGAGUACAACUGGGCUCGAGUUGAUGCUGCAGUAUUCGUUUUUCUUGUCCACUGACAAAAAAAGGUGUGUCUCAUAUUUUAAUCAUAGCAAAUUGCAUUUCUUCACGGACUAAAGCAAAUCGGCGAAUAAAAGUAAAAUUUCCGUCAGCCAGCCUCCUAUGUUGGUGUUUGCAACAGCCAUCCAGGAGCCCAUUAGUUGCUUUUCUAGCGGAUUUUUAUGAAAACAAAAGCCGUUUCUCCUCGGCCAUCGGUGUUGGAUUAAGUGCAGUCCAAUGAAAAGUGACGAUUCGAAAAGAUGAUCCUGAUUCAAAGUUGAUUAACGAUUCGAUUAACAACCGCUGUCAUUGGUUUUCGAUUACGUGCCCGUUUGGCCUAUUACUGGCAUCCAGGUGAAUUGUUACCGAAAAAGGAAGGACAUCCACGGAAGGCCAUAAAUCGAUUCACGCGUUGACCAUCUGGCCGUUCCCUCGUUCACGGCUUGAGCGUGUGCGUAUACAAUGAGUUACGAUUAAGUGAUGCAAUACGGCAAGAGACAAACUUUGGGACCGUCGAAAACGACAGCUUGUCCCUUUCCCUUUUGUUCCUGAAUUACGUUGCAUAACGACGCAAUCGUUUAUAUCCAUCUAGGUGCGAGCAGAGUGCACGAUAAAAGGAACUCGAUGACAUGAUGUAUUGCGACACGCUCAUACAUCAGUAAUGCGAAAGUGUCAAGUCGAAUAGCAGGGUGGCGAACACCAACGGGUGUUGGCAGAAUUCAAUGCAUAUCCUGCAUAUCUAACACGUUCCAUCUUACAGAUGUUUCUCUUUUCGUCGAUCUCGCCAGUUGAUCCGUUAAGGACCAGCACUUGCCUCUUGUCAAUUGCUGUGAGGCGCCAGCAGAUGCUGUGUGAAGAUUGCCAACAACCUCCCGUUAAUUUUCCAGCAGCAGAACUACCGCCUCUUAGCUGAACCUGACGUUGCUGAUUUUCCAGAUGCAACAAAUUGCAAGUAGAGACAAAAAUAAUGGUGAGGUUGGAUUAGAAACAUCGCUGAUGUUGCCCAAAGCGCAAAAAGUUCACUAGUCAAGUGCCGUGAUGGCGGAUUAGAAAAUAUACGUUGCCACCCACGCAAGAAGACGGCAUACGGGCAAAAAGAAACAACGAAUCAAUAUCUUGAAAAGAAAAAAUAAAUAAUUCCCAAAUCAUAUCCUCCAGUUCUUUUCCUGCUGAUGAUAGAGGACGGCAACAUCUGCAGUGGACGCUUUUACCAAUAAAACAGUGCGCUGUUCCCGCCUAGUCAGCAUCCGAGUCUCUUCAGCAAUUCCUUGAAUCUGUAAACAUGCCGCGUCUCUGAAAAGACAGUUCAUUUAAACAACCGAUGAAUGAACGAUGGCGUAGAUGUGGUGUUCAAUUCAAGAAUAAUCAUUAUUUCAUCAGUCACCGCUAGUUAGUAAUGUUACGCUUGAUAUGGAACAUCAACUUUCAUUUGAAUGGCGGAAAAGGCGUGUUUUCAUCGGGCGGAAACUAGUCCUCGAGAAAUGAAUUGCUAGAGGAUGUACUUCUCCGUUUUCCCCGGGUGCUAUUAUUUUUAUUUUACUUAAAAAAACUGCCUCUUUUUUCUUAUGUAUUGCUUUAAAAAAACCAAAGUAGUAAACACAAAAGAAGAUGGAGAGGAUAUUGAAAUCGGUUCCCCUCUGCCGACGUCCGCCUAGGCCUCAUUCUGGGUCGUCAUAAACACGCAAAACUAAAUUAAAAAAAAUAUUGGAAUACAAGAUGAGGAACAAAAACGAGAGUAGUGCAACAUCCAAUAUGAUGCGUGAACAUAAAAUACUACGUUUGUCGUUCACACAGACAAUUGAAGAUAUAUUAUCGCCCUGCUCCCCCCGUUUAUACAUGUUUCCCCUUCGUUUUGCGCAUCGAAUGCGUCUGUCGUGACGCUCUGUCACAUCUUGGUUGACACCAACAUCUUUCAUGCUAACGUCCGCAUGGGACAAGAAUUUGAGCAGGUAUUUUGUGAAUUUUUGGUCAAAUCAAACAGAACUAGAAGAUUUCUUACUGAUUUCAUACUUGAUGCUUGGCUUUUUACUUACUCUGCGUGUUUCCCAUAGAAAAACUAUACAGGCAAAGGCCGGUAUUUGGACAAUAAACAUAAAAGUAGGAAACGUUUUGGGAUAGUAACGUUUGAUCAAUGUUUUGUUUCAUGCCAUCGAUUAGACGCAAUUGCGGGCAACCGGUAAAAAAUAAUUUUUCUCCCCGGGUUUGCCGCAACACGUCUCAAUUCCGGCGUUCUGAUUGGUGGCACUUUAGAUUGAAAUUGAGUGCAGAUUGCGUGCACAUAUUUGCGACACCAUUUGCAACUUGUGUUUGCUUGGUUGGAGUUCCAGCAAUGAUGUUAAUUACGCAAGGGAUUCAAUCUCUCGUUACCAACUUUAUUCUUCACCCUAUGGCAAGCCAAUCGUACCGGCAGAAAUCGUUAAUGAUCCAUUAACGACCUUGACGAUCUCUGUGUCGAUAGGGGGGCGUCUCUAUAGGUCAUGACGUGGUAAGUAAAAUGCCGAACUUUUCAAUACAGAAAUGUGUUCGACACACUAACUUUAUGUGGAAGUAUGAAGUGUAACACCCGCUUCUGUGUUAGCUAAUGAAAGAAAAAUGUUUGGCUGUAAGGUUUACGCUUAGCAGUGAUUGGUAUUGGUCUGGGGAACGUUUUCUCGUAUACACAGGAUCCCAGAUUUUAGUGUUCUGCACACAAAAGACUACCUUUUUUCGCCUAUACUGCGUCCUUUUUAUUAAAAGGCCUCUUAUCCUCCAAUUUUACGUGUGUCCUUGCAUUUUAUCUGCACGUGUGGAAUUUUAGGGUAAUGGAACGGAAAAUUAGAAAAGAAAUGUUGUUUGUAUCGCUUCCGCUGAAUGCAAAAUAGUUCCACCCCAAUCCCAUUGUCUCGUACCCAGACGGGGUCAUUUCCAGUUUUUUUUUCUUUCCACUGCAGUUGGAAUUUUCAAUCGUGCAAGGAAGGUAUUAAAGCUAUUUACUCCACCAUUCAUGCAAGUUCGGUUAACGUGAACCGAGUGUGUGGUGCAAAUCAACGGAUUGUUCCAGCAGUGUUUUUCUUUGGACAAAGUUAACAGGACUGCAUGUUAGUUGGAAAGAUACAGUGAAUGAUCAGCAACAUAUCCAUGGUGUGUUCCAUGAAGCCGCAACGUAAUUCCAUUUAGAUUAUACACGUUAAAGCACUUGUAAAUACGGACAGCCUACGGGAUCGCUUUAAAUUUCAGGAUUAUUCACAUCGUCACUGCUUGCCAAAUUCAAAAAAUGACGAGUCUGCAUCGAAAACAAGCAGGAAACCGGAACUCCAUCGUCCGUAAACCCUGGAAAUGCCCUACUCAAAGAAAGAAGCAAGAGAAAAGAAGAAUGCAUCAAGAAAAAGAAAAAUGAAGUCAAAUACAAAAAUAUGGAACUAACUAGCUAAAGAAAUCCAGAGGGGAAAAAACAGUCAAAGGAAAACAGUUCAUUUCCAUGCUGAUGACACAUUACUGCGCGCCACCCAUAUAAGACGUAUGCAAACUCACAUCCAUAGUUUGGCUGUACACUUGUAUAAGUAAAGCAAGCAGAAGAAUAAGUUAAAGAAUUCAAAAUGCAUCCGAAGGCUUCGCAACUUACUGCCAAGUUGCGUCUCAUAGGGUUGAAGAGGCUAGAUGCGUUGGUGGUUGCAGUUGAGUUGGCUUCUUUAAUUGACAUAGUUACCAACCAAUGUGACACCUGAUUCAGCGAGAAAGCCAAAGAACAUAUUUUUGCAACAAAAUUAUAUGGCAGGUAUAUUCUUCUGCUGUUGAAGUAGUUUCCCAAAGCUGUGCAAGCGAAAACAAGGUUUGCGCUGACACGCGCUUCAUAUGGGCGGAUGCUAUUGACAUGAGCGCUGAAACGUCGAAUGUGCCUGGGUACUUGAUAUCGUAUGUUCUAUUCGUGCUACACCUCCCGAUAGCUGCUUGCUCUCGUUUGCACGUUCUUUCAAAUGGAAGGGAAAGUAAAAGACUGUGGGCCAGAGACAAGACAGAAUGUGUCACGACAAGUUUGAAUGACAAGACGAGCAAGCCUUCCGACAGGAACGAGAGUAUGGACAUUAUUAGAUGACAUAGAAGGGACAAGAAGAAUUUAAUCAACAACUCUACUGGAAGAAGGGGUUUACAAGAUAUGCAGCUGACUUCCCAUCGAUGUGAGAAAGUUGAGAACGUUCUCCGUGCACUUAGACUGUUAUGUUUGAGCUGUUCCGCUUGUAAGUUUUCUUGCGAUAUGAAUCGUCCAAUGCAAUCGAAAGUAACAACUCGGACUCAGGUAACGAGUUGUUGCCACCAGAAUAUAGUUAUUGACCAUAACUGUAUGCUGCGAGUUAUUUAAGUAAGUAUUCUAAUGAACAAAAAGUACUGUCGGCAAAGGAAAGAUGAAGUGUAACGUUUUGAUCUUGUAAAGUUAAAGCACGCACAUCAGUGUUACGUAAAGAGGUAAACGUGCAAAUGUUUCAUGUGUUCCACGUUGCCAAGAUAACUACAGCAACUAAAACUAGCAAGGUGAGAGAAAACAAAAACCUUAUUUUAUCAUAGGUUCCCUAAGUGAUUGCCAUGGAGAAACGGCCACUGAUUGUGCCCAGUAGUUUGAGGAAGAACUUUAAGUGUUCUAUUUGCUAAGAUUUUCUUGUGCCAAGGUUUCUCGAAAGGCAGGCUGACAACGAUAUGGCCUCCACCCAAUUGCAUAUCAAAAGCAGUUACAAUUGAAGCUUAAAUACUUGUCCUUUUCUACAUUUUUCGUUCUGCUUUCUUCGUACACUCGCUUAUGUAAACUUUUCUUGUCUGUCUUGUUACUCAGCAGGGCGGAUAUACAAUCGUAUUGCGUAGUAAUCGAAUCAUCAAAUCUACUUGAAAACGACAACGACGAAAGAACGCCCGCUAUGGCAAAGGGUCUAAAAGCUUUGUCCAAAUGUUGCUUGUUAGUGCGCAGCCUCACGUCACUCAUUAUACAUUCCUGAAAGCGGCUGAAUUUUUUUCGGGUGUGAAAAUCUCAUCAAAUCCCGUUGUUUCACGCCACACGCCCACGAAUUUUAAUGAGAUUUCACGCUGGCGCUUUGGUGAUUGCAGAGAUAUUCAAUUAAUUUAACCUAUAGUAUAAUAGGAUGCAAAGGAAAGAACGUCUUUUCUUUCCAAACGUCGUCGCAGUACAAAAUUGGCCUCACUAGACACAAAAUGCUUACUAGCUCUUAUCUGCAACUCGACGUCAUCCCAAGCAAGAUGUUCAGAAAUUAUGGUGAAUAAUUUAAACCUGUAAUAAAUUUUGUUUAAAUUAUUGAUGGAACUAUGGGACAAUUGGGCUUCGCUAAGCUUGCUGAAUUGCAUAUAACUUGUAAACUAGCGUGAGUCACAAUUAAUGCCGUUCUUAUUUUUAGUUUUGCUGUGAUUCCUUAGCUAACAGUAUUUUCUCAAAAUAGUAAAUGUUGCAAUCGAAAUAAAGUUGCAUGGUUGAAAAUUUCGCAGAGUCAGGCCCGUGUCUGAUUUAUGGUAAUCGUAGGACCACUAUAGGCUAAUGGAAAAGUUGUGUGUAACGUUGUACAUGUGAUGCCGUGCAUGUUGAUGUCAUGGUCGUCUUGAGCUAUAGGUCUGGAAAAAAAUCAGCAUCCUUAGGUUUCUCUCGCAAGUUAAAAUUGGCGAAACGUGCAGGCUACUGUGGUUCGUAAAUCGUAACGCAACCGGAUGGCAUGUGAAAUGACAUGGUGCGUUUGCGAGCAAAAAUUAAUGGCAGAAGGCAGCACGGCGGAGUGCAAUCCGCUAACUUAUAUACAGUUACGUUGUCUUGUAAGCAUUUCUUCCAUGUUCUCGUACAAACUGGGAGGAGAUCCAUAGCUUAAUGGACAUAUUCGCGCCAUGCCUCUUUUCUGGUGCAAUCACUGUUGUAACAAUUUCUCUUGCAAGUUGCUCGGUGUAAGUCUUCUACCUGCAACCUGAAUCAGUAUUUCGUAGCUCCCAGUUUUGUAUUCGGUGGUCAGCAACUA